rnacentral:rRNA from 1 species
AAGGUUAACCGAAUAGGGGAGCCGGAGGGAAACCGAGUCUUAAUUGGGCGUUAAGUUGCAGGGUAUAGACCCGAAACCCGGUGAUCUAGCCAUGGGCAGGUUGAAGGUUGGGUAACACUAACUGGAGGACCGAACCGACUAAUGUUGAAAAAUUAGCGGAUGACCUGUGGCUGGGGGUGAAAGGCCAAUCAAACCGGGAGAUAGCUGGUUCUCCCCGAAAGCUAUUUAGGUAGCGCCUCGUGAAUUCAUCUCCGGGGGUAGAGCACUGUUUCGGCUAGGGGGCCAUCCCGGCUUACCAACCCGAUGCAAACUGCGAAUACCGGAGAAUGUUAUCACGGGAGACACACGGCGGGUGCUAACGUCCGUCGUGAAGAGGGAAACAACCCAGACCGCCAGCUAAGGUCCCAAAGUCAUGGUUAAGUGGGAAACGAUGUGGGAAGGCCCAGACAGCCAGGAUGUUGGCUUAGAAGCAGCCAUCAUUUAAAGAAAGCGUAAUAGCUCACUGGUCGAGUCGGCCUGCGCGGAAGAUGUAACGGGGCUAAACCAUGCACCGAAGCUGCGGCAGCGACGCUUAUGCGUUGUUGGGUAGGGGAGCGUUCUGUAAGCCUGUGAAGGUGGCCUGUGAGGGUUGCUGGAGGUAUCAGAAGUGCGAAUGCUGACAUAAGUAACGAUAAAGCGGGUGAAAAGCCCGCUCGCCGGAAGACCAAGGGUUCCUGUCCAACGUUAAUCGGGGCAGGGUGAGUCGACCCCUAAGGCGAGGCCGAAAGGCGUAGUCGAUGGGAAACGGGUUAAUAUUCCCGUACUUGGUGUUACUGCGAAGGGGGGACGGAGAAGGCUAUGUUGGCCGGGCGACGGUUGUCCCGGUUUAAGCGUGUAGGUGUGUGUUCCAGGUAAAUCCGGUUCACUUUAACACUGAGGCGUGAUGACGAGGCACUACGGUGCUGAAGUAACAAAUGCCCUGCUUCCAGGAAAAGCCUCUAAGCAUCAGGUAACAUCAAAUCGUACCCCAAACCGACACAGGUGGUCAGGUAGAGAAUACCAAGGCGCUUGAGAGAACUCGGGUGAAGGAACUAGGCAAAAUGGUGCCGUAACUUCGGGAGAAGGCACGCUGACAC